GACGAACGCUGGCGGCGUGCCUAAUACAUGCAAGUAGAACGCUGAAGGAGGAGCUUGCUUCUCUGGAUGAGUUGCGAACGGGUGAGUAACGCGUAGGUAACCUGCCUGGUAGCGGGGGAUAACUAUUGGAAACGAUAGCUAAUACCGCAUAAGAGUAGAUGUCGCAUGACAUUUGCUUAAAAGGUGCAAUUGCAUCACUACCAGAUGGACCUGCGUUGUAUUAGCUAGUUGGUGAGGUAACGGCUCACCAAGGCAACGAUACAUAGCCGACCUGAGAGGGUGAUCGGCCACACUGGGACUGAGACACGGCCCAGACUCCUACGGGAGGCAGCAGUAGGGAAGCUUCGGCAAUGGACGGAAGUCUGACCGAGCAACGCCGCGUGAGUGAAGAAGGUUUUCGGAUCGUAAAGCUCUGUUGUAAGAGAAGAACGAGUGUGAGAGUGGAAAGUUCACACUGUGACGGUAUCUUACCAGAAAGGGACGGCUAACUACGUG
rnacentral:rRNA from 1 species